rnacentral:rRNA from 1 species
AUGGCCUCAUGCGAGGUCCGGCCGCCAGCGGCGCGAUGUGAAAUGCGGGUGUUGGAGGUGCAGGUGGAGGGGUGGAGCGGCGAUGACGACGGCCAGAGGAAGAGCCGACCUCGUGGUCGUUCCUGCCCUUGCAGCCGGAGAUCCAGUGUGGCCGGCGGCAAGGUUGAGCUAGGGUUUGGAGAAACCGAGCGUGUCGGGCUUCAAGGAGGCAUGUGUCGCCGGGAGUGGGGAAGUGGAAGUGUGUACCCCCACCGGUCCAUGGCUUCCGCAUUAAAAAGGACGGCGACCACUCGGCCAGGGUGGCUGACAAGCGGGGCCGCCCGCGCGUGCAUCGUAAAUGUGGACGUUCUGGAGAUUGCAGAAGCCGUUUCAAUGAACAUAAACGACAGGGGCAUCCUGGGUAAAUCAGCUAGGAGCAGUCUAGAAAAAUGUGACAGUCUCACACUACAGCAGCAUGCCUAA